rnacentral:rRNA from 1 species
CCUAUCAUGCAAGUCGAGCGGACUUGCUGGAGCUUGCUCCAGCAGGUUAGCGGCGGACGGGUGAGUAACACGUGGGCAACCUGCCUGUAAGACUGGGAUAACUCCGGGAAACCGGAGCUAAUACCGGAUAGUAUCUUGAACCGCAUGGUUCAAGUUGGAAAGACGGUUUCGGCUGUCACUUACAGAUGGGCCCGCGGCGCAUUAGCUAGUUGGUGAGGUAAUGGCUCACCAAGGCAACGAUGCGUAGCCGACCUGAGAGGGUGAUCGGCCACACUGGGACUGAGACACGGCCCAGACUCCUACGGGAGGCAGCAGUAGGGAAUCUUCCGCAAUGGACGAAAGUCUGACGGAGCAACGCCGCGUGAGUGAUGAAGGUUUUCGGAUCGUAAAACUCUGUUGUUAGGGAAGAACAAGUGCGAGAGUAACUGCUCGCACCUUGACGGUACCUAACCAGAAAGCCACGGCUAACUACGUGCCAGCAGCCGCGGUAAUACGUAGGUGGCAAGCGUUGUCCGGAAUUAUUGGGCGUAAAGCGCGCGCAGGCGGUUUCUUAAGUCUGAUGUGAAAGCCCCCGGCUCAACCGGGGAGGGUCAUUGGAAACUGGGAAACUUGAGUGCAGAAGAGGAGAGUGGAAUUCCACGUGUAGCGGUGAAAUGCGUAGAGAUGUGGAGGAACACCAGUGGCGAAGGCGACUCUCUGGUCUGUAACUGACGCUGAAGCGCGAAAGCGUGGGGAGCGAACAGGAUUAGAUACCCUGGUAGUCCACGCCGUAAACGAUGAGUGCUAAGUGUUAGA